CCUGGAAAGGUUUUUAACGAGGCAACAAAGACGUUAAGCGAGAGCGAAUAGUGACACCGGCCCCCAAGGGGGAGUGUUAUAAAAGACAUAUAGAGACAGCGCCGCUUUCGUUGAAAAUAUAAAAAGAUGUGGGGCCCGCUGCACUAUUUGCACAGUAAAUUUUCUUCUAUAUAUACGAACGUUUGCGUUCGUUUGUAAAUACACUGAAAACUCUUCUCUUCCUUUCAAUAAGAAACACUCUCUCUAUAUCAGUGUUAUCUUCUCCUACGGAUAUAAAAUUUUGCUUCAUUUAAAUUCCUGCGAUAUAAUAAAAUUUCAGUUCUUUUUAUAACAGUUAGAUGAAUAUUAAUGAAUUUUAGACGGUAUACAUUCAUUUUCUAGUCCAAUUGUUCAUAAGUAUCAUUUCACGUACUACUUAAUUCACUAAAGUCCAUAUUAAUGUUUUACGGAAUUGUACUAAUCUUGAGAUCUAUCGUGGAAAAUACUGCGGUUGUCUGUCUUGCAAUCAAAUUUUUGUACAACUUUUUUAGUUAAUUCUAAUAUAAAUUUCUCAAUGAAAAGUACGUAUGUAACCGUGGUUACUAAGACUGUAACUCGGUAGAGAUAUAUGUGAAAAUUACUUAUAGAAUAUCAUAUAACUUGAAUGACAUAUGGUGCAAACUUAUUAGGUGAAGAUAUGAAAAUCAAACAUAAGUGAUAUGAACCAAUCACAUAUGUGUGUGUUUCUCUUCUCGCUUUCUGAUUUUAUCUUUUAAGACCGAGCAUUAAGAGGACAAGCUUGAAGUAAGCUUCACAAAAUGCUAGUCUAAUAAAAGUGAGCUUGAAGUUGUUCCAUGGAGGGUAUCGAGGUU